rnacentral:rRNA from 1 species
GAUGAACGCUGGCGGCGUGCCUAACACAUGCAAGUCGAGCGAACAGACGCGGCGCUUGCUCCUCUCACGUUAGCGGCGGACGGGAGAGUAACACGUGGAUACCCUACCUAUCAGACUGGGAUAACUUCGGGAAACCGGAGCUAAUACCGGAUAAUCUAUUGAACCGCAUUGGUCAAUAGUGAAAUACGGCUUUGGGGUCUCUUCUAGAUGGAUCCGCGCCGCAUUAGCUGGUUGUUACGGUAACGGCUUAUCAAGGCGAGCAUGCGUAGCCGACCGGAGAGGGUGAUCGGCCACACUAGAGCGGGGACGCGGACCAGACUCCUACGGGAGGCAGCAGUAGGGAAUCUGACGCAGUAGGCGGGAGCUUGACGGAGCAGGGCCACGUGAGUGAUGAAGGUCUUGGGAGCGUAAAGCUCGGUUAUGGGGGGAGAACAGAUGUGUAAGGAACUGUGCACGUCGUGACGGUACCUGGUCAGGAAGCAACGGCUAACUACGUG